rnacentral:lncRNA from 1 species
UGUAUAACUUUCUCCGCGAGAAUGCCGAUUUCCGUGAAAUGAAGAUAUAUUGCGAUAACUGAAUAUUACUCGAUUAAAUCCUCGUAUCGCGGUAUUUAUCACGAGAAACGAACGCGCGAAUAAUCAGUUUGAAGUGACGCCGCCUUGCAACACGAUAAUGAACUAACCAGGAUGAAUAGGAUAUCGUCGGUUAUAAACACACUAUUCACUACACCACUAACAUUCAGUCGCGAGAUUGUGAUAGAAAAUUACGUUGACGAGUAUUUUGAGAGGUUUUCUUGAUCACACGAGUGAGAAAACACGUGCACGUUUCAAAGCGUUAUUAUUGCUACUCAGCGCGCGAAGGAUACGCUCGGUGAUUGUACUGGAAAGUCAGCAACUGCUGCCACUGGCCCAACUCAGGGAACCUCGACAACUGCUCGUUACGCGCAGUCGAAGCAUACGGGACCCUCAGGCCCGUACGAACAAGCCAACGAAAAUUUCGAGACACGGAGACCGAAAUUUCGAUCGUUCCAUUUUUCCUAGUAUUUAGACUUUAGGUUUGGUUCGGGGCGAGGGUAACAUGCGGACGGAGAGCUCUGCGGAAAAAGUGAAGUGUGAAGGGAAAAAGGAGAAGGAAGCACAAAGUGACACGAAGAAGGGAAAAUAAAGGGUGAGCAUACGAGGAGGAAGUGAAAGAAAAGCGAAAAGAAGUCAGGAACGAGAGAAAGACACAAAUUAGAAAAACUAGAGGGGUAGAGGUUAGGAAGUCAGAAGGGCGGCAAACAAAGUAAGGUAGGGAAACAAAAGAUGGCGACAAACAGAGGGAGACCAAGGAACAUGGAUAAGGCGGGAGAUAAGGCAGAUUUCAAACAAUAUGUAAUUACCAUUAUUAUUUUCGACGCCAAAAACGAGCAAUAAUAAUUCAGCUAUCAUAAAUUCCAUCUUACCUGCACCUCUAUUCACGAUAAAAAGUAUUUUUAUUAUCAUGUUUUGAUUAUUUCUCAAUAAACUUUUAAGACACAAAGGAAUGAAAAUACGAGGAAUAAAUUACAAAGAUAAUUUUCAUAUGGUUUAAUAACAAUAAAUGUUCAACCUUCAAAUGUACGACUAGAAAAAUGAUAACUUCACAAAACUGUACUCCCGUCCAAUUAUAUUUCACCUAAAUAAAUUGUAUCUAAAUCAGCAAAUUAAUUUGGACUCAGCAAGUCUACUAGAAAUUUUUCAGUUUUGAAUUUUUAUAUUCUAACUUCAUUGUAAUUUUAACAGAUAAACAACCUCUGAACGUUUCAAGUAAAACUUUGAUGUAAUGUUACGAAUAAAAAUUGUAAGACGAAAACUCACACAUAUUAUAACACUCUUACACAUUUUCCUCGAAUGUAACAUAAUAUAACAUAACGUCAAAGGCGUAGAAAUAUUAAUCUGCCCAUAGCGUAAUCGUAUUUACAAUUACGAAGUACACUGUUACCCUCAUCAAAAAGUAAUCAUAAAAUU